UCAUGUUUAGCUUAUUUAUCUGAUUUUAUAUAUGUUGUAACUUAUGUGCCGAUUUUAACUUUUAACCAGUUUUAUUUAAUUUAUUAAAGAAAAUUGAACGUCGUCUGAUACUUGUCUUUUGAUUGCAUCGCAUGAAAUGAACCUGCAAUCCUGAAUACAUCCGAUUCGACGUUUUGGGAUUUGGAUUUAGGUCGCAUGAAAUGCAUACCCGAGUUUAAGAAGAUAAGAUUAUUAAGCACGCACCUAAUGAGACUAUCAUGUUAUUAUUUUUUGGGGAAGACCGUGAAAUUUGAUAAACGGCCCCUCCCGAAAUCUAAGUAGUUAAUAUAUAUACAUUUAUGAGGGCCCCGCAGUUUGUGCCAUUUUAUUUGACGAGGCUCGUCUCAUUUAUUUAAAAGGACAAUCCUAAUGUGACUACAUUUCUCUAUUAAGUUAGUCUCUAAAAAAUGAAAAGAAAAUUCCUAGUUUAUUUACAUGCUUACCAGUUAUUAUAUCUAAGUCCCGGACACAAUUUGUUAAAUCUAAAAAUGAAUGUAGUAAGAGCAGUCUGUUGCCAACUAUGGGCCCAAGUCCAGCGCAUAUAGCAUUUAAUGGGACUUGGGCCAUCUUUAUUCUGAAAUUGGGCCUAGCUAAAUUAUCCUAUGCAUGCUUGAAACUUUUAAGAAGCAAAAAUGAAAGUGCUAUCCAAUUAUACAUUCUCUUGUAAGUUUAGGUAGGCAGUUUGUUAAAUUAAAUAGCUUAAACUAUCUAACAGUCAACUACCAAAGUCCUAACACACGUUUGAAAUAGGUCACUUAACAAACAAAUUGAAAUAAUCAGAAUAUUGUUUAUUACAAGCAUACAUAGGGAGUUCACCAACUAAGUUACCAUGUAUGAAUGUCUAGUUAUACAUCAGCUACCUAUAUGAUUCUAGUAGGGGAAAUGAACUAUUCUAUACACGACUGUUGUUAAAUAUACUACUAAAAAUGAAUUUUAAAAAAAUGGCUUCAUGCAAAUCAGUUGCGUACCUGAUAUUUGGAAAGCAAAGAAGAGGGAGAUCAGUAGAAACAGCAGUAACAUACACAGCAAAUAACAGUACUCAGCAACAAAUAGCAACACCCAAUAACCAGCAAUAACCAGCAGUAGAACCCAGGGACAGCUAAAACAAUCAGAAAAUCCAGUAGCGACCCAAUGAAACAAUGCUCAAUCCGCUAGAUAACAUCGCAGAUGCCGAAAAUAAAACCCAGCAGUACCAAAAGGCAAUCACAGAUAAAGCAGAAGAAAGGCAAAUGUAAGUAAACAAUACUGUUUCUGAUUAUCAGCCCUCAAGGAAGACCAAAUUGAAAUUUUUUAAGUGAAAAGUCAGCCUAAUGUCACUCUGUAUCUGACCUUUUUUCAGUUAUGAAAAAUCACUUCAACUCCAACUCUUAAGUUCUGAAUUCUUCUCUAAAAAAAUUCUCUUCUCUCUCAGAUUGUGUGUGUACCUUUAGUUUUAGAAUGAGCUUAUUUAUAGGCUAUAACUAGACAUCUUUUUCUCAAAGUUCCUCACUUUACAGCCAAUUUUAUUCCCUUCUCAUGUGCAUUUCUACCUUCUCAUCAUUAAACACAUGUUAUUACUGAUUUCCCACUGGUAAAGUCACUAAGCUAACUCAAACAGUACCCUUUUAUCAUUAACCCCUUAAGGUUUCUGAUCUUCCCCCUUUAAGGUAUUGAAAAGAAUGUCAGCUUUUAAUUUUAAAAAAUCCCUUGUUAUUCCCUGAAUCCCAUUACUGAAUGUCCAGUUUGUUAUUCCAAUUAAUUAAGUGUGCAGCCUGGAUUUUAUUCAAUUCUCCCAUGUUAUUUCUGACUUGACCCCACCCCAUAAUAUUAAAGAAAGUUAUCAGCUUAGUGGUACCUUAAUGCUACUGACAGAACAUUAAGUUCCUAACAAAAAACUAAGGUAUUUUCUUUUCAGGUUUUAAGACUAAAUUAACCCCAGGGCACAUGACCUACUGCCUUGUCCUAAAUUAGAACCCCCAUAACAUGAUUUAUAAUUAACUACUAAGGUAUUGCAGCUAUAACUAAUUUCACAACUAAAUUCAAACAAUGAUUCAAUCAAAAUUGAGACAGUAUGAAUCAAAUUGCUAUCAGGGCAUUAUAACAUUCAAACUUGUAAAACUAAUCAACGACACUCAAUCAAUCGACUAUAUAAAUCACCACAAACACUAUCAGGGCAUUCUAACAUUCAAACCUGUAAAACUAAUCGAUGAUACUCAAUCAAUCGACUAUAUAAAUCACCACAUACACAAUUGAUAACACAUAGAAACAAACAGACAAAAUAAAGGAUUCAAGUGAUGUGACAAAACAGGGGUUGUAAUGAAACUGACUAGUCGACCAAGUUUUCCAAAAUCGACUACACGGUUUAUACACUUAACAAUGAACAGACAAAAUUUUUGAUCAAAUAAAAGGUCUGAAUUGGAGAAGAAGAACAAAGCAUAUAGAUUGGAAAUAAAAUUAUUCUAACCACACAAACGAAUAAAAAAAUAGAACAAACAAAGAAAAAGAAAAGGAAUGCCUUGAGUAGACUACAUGACCCAAGUUCGAACUCAGACUCGACCUCUUUGAGGUCGAAUGGACCUUAAUCGAGUGUUCUCAAUGGAGAACACUUCGACUGAGGUCUAUUAGACCCCCAAUCCCUCUACUAAUUUGGACCAAUUCCUGGUUCUUGGAUUUCUAGGGUUCUUGGGCUCAGAUUAAGCUUGAAGGUUUCUACCUAGAUUCGAACCAAACAAAGAUUAGUUUGGUUACGAGUGAGUUUAGGGAAAGGUCGUGCAUCAGUUUCAGGCAAUUUGGUGUAGUUUGGAUUUGGAUUCGAAUCUUCGAAUGAAGAUUCGAGAAGUUUUGGCUUGGUUCGAGAGAUGUGGCUAGGUUAGUCGUGUUUGGGGUGAAGAGGGGGUUCUGUUGUUUUAAGAUGGUGACCGGCGGCGUAGUUGCCGAUGAGCUUCAGGUGGAAGGAGCUUAGGGCGUCUAGGGUUUUCAGAGGUUCGUCUCUGAUCUCUUGAGAGAGAUAAAGUGAGAUGGGGUGGGGUUGGCUAUGGGGGCGUGGGGUAAGAGACGGGGGGUUUAUAUACGAAGGGGGUGGUUGGAUCCUGGCCGUUGGAUCAAGAAUGAUCAACAGCCAAGAUAUUUCAUAUGGGUGAAACAGUGUCGUGUGAUUUAAGUGAGACUGGGUCGGUCUCUGGGGUUAAAUGGGUUGGGUAUCAGGGAAUGUUCGGGAAUGUUAAACAAGCUAAGAUGGAUGGCUCAUAUCACACGCCUAAAUACGGUGUCAUUUGGACUAGAAGGAGACCUGAUCUGGGUCGUUCAAAAAUGAUUUGAUCAACGGUGUCGUUU
rnacentral:lncRNA from 1 species